AAGAUUAAGCCAUGCAUGUCUAAGUGUAAGCAACUUAUACUGUGAAACUGCGAAUGGCUCAUUAAAUCAGUUAUCGUUUAUUUGAUAGUACCUUACUACAUGGAUACCUGUGGUAAUUCUAGGGCUAAUACAUGCUAAAAACCCCGACUUCGGAAGGGGUGUAUUUAUUAGAUAAAAAACCAACGCCCUUCGGGGCUCCUUGGUGAAUCAUAAUAACUUAACGAAUCGCAU
rnacentral:rRNA from 1 species